AGAUGGAUGAGGUCACUUUUGUACUUCUCUAGAAUAAAAUUCUUGGAUGGAAGAAUCGAGCUCCGAGUUCAGAUGGUGACUCAUUAUGGCAGUGGCUGCAGGUGGUCGUGGUAGAGGAUGAAGCAGCAGAAGAUUGUAAGAUGGGCAGUCUAGGUCCAAAUCAAGGGACUACAAUAAGAUCAGGUGUUACAGGUGUGAAGAGUUAGAGUAUCGAGUCAGAGAUUAUCUAGAGUAUAGAGAUCGGAUGAAGGCUAUGUUAGAAAAUCGUAUAGGAUGCAUGCAUAGAUUUAAAAAAUCUUUUGAAUAG
rnacentral:lncRNA from 1 species